UCCCGGAAAGCGGCUGCCCAUGCUGGGGUGUUGGGAAGGGCCCAGGGCCUUUGAAAAGGGGCACCCCGAGAGCUCCUCCAAAGUGUGAGCUAAGGCUGUUUGGUAUUUUUCAAUUCUCUCCGGGGCUGCAGGAAGUUCUUCUUGGGCAGGGAUUGCAUCAUUCCCAGGGGCAUGAGCGGGCAUCCUGGUUUUAGAAGGCCUGCAUUUCCCCUUAGGGGCUCCUGCCCGAGGGUGUGCUCCUCUCUCUGCCCGGCUUACGGGGAGGGCCCCCCUGGCAUCAGGAGGACCAGCGACGACCAUGCCACGAGCCACCAUCUCUCCAGACCACCCCCCUUUCUCAUCAGACCCCAAGCUCUGCAGACUCCAUCUCCUUCGUGUCUCCCAUCCCACCCCUCCUCUCCGGCCUGGACCUCCGGGGUGCAAAUCUGGCCCCUUCCUCCAAGCUCAGUGCCCUCCCUGGUGCCUUCCUCCAUAUGCCAUGAAAUGGAAACACACACUCCCAAGGCCCCCAGACCAGCCACAGCUCCUGACGUUCCCUUCCCUUGAAGCUCAGUGGUACGACCCCAUUUAGUCCAUCCCCCCAGCUGGCCCCUGCACACGCCCCCCUGGGUGGCCCUCCCUGGGGAGCCUGUGUUCUCCCCACUCCACCCCACCCCGGGAAAUGGCUCCGGCUCCCCUGUCCUUGGCUCCCCCCCCCCAUGCCCUGUGCAUCCUUUCCUUAGGACAUGCAGUGAAUUCCCUCACUCGCUCACCCACCAACAGUCUGUCCCCCACUUCUAGAGUGGGGCUUCAGGAUUCCCAAGGGGUGAGGUGUCCCUUUCUAACAAGGCUACCCCUGGGCAUCCUGACCAAAGUGUCCACCCCGGCCCUGUACCAGUCACCAUCGACUGGGGGCCUUCUUCCAGGCCUCCUGCUCUCUGCAAGUGCCUGACUUUAGUGUUAAUUUUCUCUCUCUCUCCCCAAGACUGCAGGGUUUCUCACUGCAGGGUGUCUUGUCCCUGUCUUGUUCUCUGCUGUGUCCCCAGCGCUGGGACCCAUGCCAGACCCAUAGGAGAGGAACAGUGAAUGUUUGUUGAUUGACUAACAGAGUCCCCAAAGGCCCCUGGGCCAUGUGGGGUUAAUCCCUGGGAAGUGCCAGCACAAAGGGGACACCCAGUGAGACAGGCCGACUGAGUCCGUGAACGUGGCUGUGGGUGUUUAGAGGCCCCUCACAGUUGAGGGGUUUUGGUUUUCCAGCUUCCCCUCCCCUUGCAGGAUGUCGUUGGAGACUCUGAGGUUUGCUGCCGCAGGGGCAGGUCAGCCAGUCUGGGGUAGUUUCCCCACGUUCCAGGUGGGGCCAGUAAGGCCCCCAAAACACCGACGAGCCCCAGUUUUACCCACAGACACCAGCUGAGUGGACCCUCCCCUCCCAGCCAACCGCGGUACAUAGAGGCACUUGCUCUGGGGAAUUCCGUGCACGCCAGGCUGCAGCAGCGUCAGGGCUGAUACUCUAUGCACGGAGCAGACUAAAUGGGAACAUUUGGAGAGGAAAAUUGCCGUUACUGCAUCCACACAUGUUUGGAAUAUCUUAAACGUGGGGGGCAGGGGACUGAUAUCAGCCUCGUUUAAUAGCUCCGCUGGAAGCAUCCCCAUUCCACGGCGUUGACAAGCAUGGCCGCCCCGAAGGCACGCGGGAAGGAGCCCUGGGGACAUAACCACCACCUGAGAAUUACGCUCGAGUCAAAAUGUCAGCCCAGGGUACCAGGCAGUCGGCAGGAGCAUGUUCCUGACGGUGACCCCAUGCCGCCCGGCGUGGGGUUGCAUUAAAAGCCAAAUUACUGCUUUAUCUAUUGUUUUAAGAGGAAAGAAAAUAAACAUAGGCCUUUCUCAUCUGCCAACCCAAAUGAAAACGUCUGUCUGGCAGUGCAGGCGGAAUGCACGGCGUCUUGGACCCUCGCCCGCAGGGCCGAGACCCAGCCCGUCUCUCUCCGGGGCAGUGUGGAAACAGCCGCAGGGCACACCGUUUCCAGAGCCUGCCGCUGGCAAGGGCCCAGUCUACCCCCCACCAUGUGUGUCCAGGAGCUGAUUCCUCCAGAACCACUUUUAAAAUUGGGAAGUUGUUGAACAAAUUGGGCCCGUGUUCCUGUCUGUGACGUGGUGAUGUCGUCCUUAACUGCUUUCAAGGGGAGAUGCAAAAGAAAAUAGUAACUGCCGUGAAAGUGCACUUACUGUUGGUGCUUCCAGCCAGGCGCUCCCCAUCAGCCCUGUGGGGCAGGUUCUGUCGUUCAGCUGACAGUGCCCCGUGGAGAGUGUUUGUGGAUCGAAUAAAGAGAAGAGUGUUCUUGGAGGGAAUAAAGAAGCAGAGAGAUGAAGAAUCAGGGGGAGACAGAUACAAAUCUUCACUGAGCUCUGUCAAGGCCCUGCAGGGAUGGAGGUGCCAUAUGUCACGGAUGGGGACCGUCUUGAGGCUCACUGAACUGGGCACUUGGUAGAUGCACAUUCUACAAGGGACACCGUGAGCCACCUCUCUGGGGACAUGAGGGCCGGAGAUGAUGCUUGGGUCUGAUCUGGAGCUCUGCCUUCUCCGAACCCAUCUCAGGAGCCUCAAGCCCCUUGGGGCCUGGAAUUUUCUGCUUGUUCUCCUCUGGCUUCCUCUCCUGCUUCACAUGGCUCCAGAAUGCCCCCCCUUUCUUGGCCAAGGCCGAGCCCACCGGUGUGUGACCCAUGGGGGCCUCGUUAGCCUGUGACACCAGCACCUUCCCCCACCCCGCAGAGGAAGGCGGGAGCCUGGGAACUCAGGAGCCCCCUCCCUACACGGAUGCUUUCAAGGACCCUGACUGAGCACUGGGGCUCCCCUCACGGCGCGGGGCCAGCCUCAGCUGCGAGACUGGGGGAGCUGCGUGGAAACAGGGGCGACGGUGAACAGAAACAAAACUACAAGAGGAACAACACAUGCUCCUCUCGCGUGUGGACGUUUUGGACAGCGAGCGAGCCCGGGGCGGGGUGCAAGCGCGUGUUUAAGGGGUGUGGGAAUCCCCGGUCUUCGUCCUCAAAUGCUUUGACUGUCGUCAGGCUAUUUGCGUAAUAAAUACAUGUCACGAAACCCUA